rnacentral:rRNA from 1 species
CCUACGGGAGGCAGCAGUGGGGAGUAUUGCACAAUGGGCGCAAGCCUGAUGCAGCCAUGCCGCGUGUGUGAAGAAGGCCUUCGGGUUGUAAAGCACUUUCAGCGGGGAGGAAGGCGGUGAGGUUAAUAACCUCAUCGAUUGACGUUACCCGCAGAAGAAGCACCGGCUAACUCCGUGCCAGCAGCCGCGGUAAUACGGAGGGUGCAAGCGUUAAUCGGAAUUACUGGGCGUAAAGCGCACGCAGGCGGUCUGUCAAGUCGGAUGUGAAAUCCCCGGGCUCAACCUGGGAACUGCAUUCGAAACUGGCAGGCUAGAGUCUUGUAGAGGGGGGUAGAAUUCCAGGUGUAGCGGUGAAAUGCGUAGAGAUCUGGAGGAAUACCGGUGGCGAAGGCGGCCCCCUGGACAAAGACUGACGCUCAGGUGCGAAAGCGUGGGGAGCAAACAGGAUUAGAUACCCUAGUAGUC